AUACGUAGGGGGCAAGCGUUGUCCGGAUUUACUGGGUAUAAAGGGAGCGCAGGCGGAUUCGUAAGUCAGGGGUGAAAUCCUACAGCUUAACUGUAGAACUGCCUUUGAUACUGCGAGUCUUGAGAUCGGAAGAGAGAGAUGGAAUUCCAGGUGUAGUGGUGAAAUACGUAGAUAUCUGGAAGAACACCAAUGGCGAAGGCAGUCUCUUGGUCCGUAUCUGACGCUGAGGCUCGAAAGCGUGGGGAGCAAACAGGAUUAGAUACCCCGGUAGUCC
rnacentral:rRNA from 1 species